CGCCUCCUGCUUCUUAUAGGAGGUCCAGCCUGCCCGGUGAAAACUUUAACGGCCGCGGUACCCUGACCGCGCGAAGGUAGCAUAAUCGCUUGUUCUUUAAUUGGGGACUUGUAUCAACGGCAUCACGAGGGUUGCACUGUCUCCUCCCCCCAAUCGGUGAAACUGAUCUCCCCGUGAAGAAGCGGGGAUACCACUAUAAGACGAGAAGACCCCAUGGAGCUUUAAAUUUGCUGCAGCUCUGCCAUGUAGUUCCAGAGUCCGCGGAGCCAUGCACGUCAAUUUUCGGUUGGGGUGACCGCGGAGUAAAAUCUAACCUCCGCGACGGAAAGAACUAAAUCUUUAUCUAAGAGCCACUACUCUAAGAAUUAGCACACUAACGUACAAUGACCCGAUAACAGAUCAACGAACCAAGUUACCCUGGGGAUAACAGCGCAAUCUACUUCGAGAGCCCAUAUCGACAAGUAGGUUUACGACCUCGAUGUUGGAUCAGGGCAUCCCAGUGGUGCAGCCGCUACUAAAGGUUCGUUUGUUCAACGAUUAAAGCCCU
rnacentral:rRNA from 1 species